rnacentral:rRNA from 1 species
UCGUGGGUUGGCCUGUCUGCUUGAUUGCGAUAACGAACGAGACCCCCGCCUGCUAACUAGACCGCCGGUCCUCCGCGCGGUCUUCUUAGAGGGACAACACCCGCAAGGGUGAGGAAGCAGGGGGCAAUAACA